CCUAUAAGCUGGUGUAGGAAGUUAUCCCUAUCCUUUUGAAGUUAAUCCUAUCAAAGUUUCUGUUACAGAAGUAAUGUCCAGGAACAAAUCUACUUUGUUAACUGAGUUAUGCUGUCUACCCACCCAGCAAUAAAGGAUCAUGCUUGUUUGCCUGCAGUAAGAAGACCCAAGAGCACUGGGUGCCUAUUAUUCCUGGGACCUCGAAAUUUGCAAGCGUUUCUUCUGUGGCUCUGAAUUUCUCUUCUGACAAGGCCUACUUUGACAAAAGGGCAUCAUCAAAGCAUAUCUUUUCUAAUACAAGAGAGCUGAGUGGGUGGCUAUCAACAGCUAUCGCACCUCUGAAUUUAUGGCUAAACAAAUGCUGCUGGCCUAGGGAUAAAGGCAUGCGAGUUGUUGACCUGUUGCCCAACUAUGUGUGUACAUUCUAUAAUUGAAACACUGAGUUCAUGCAGCUGUAGGAAAAGGUAGAGGGCUGUAAAUUCAGAGAGAAUACCUUCCAUGCUUGAGGUCUUUAGAGUACUGCUAUACUAUAGCUUCUGCUGAAUAGAUAUUAAAAGUCCAUGAAGCCCUAACUCGCUGUUUGGGAUAUGGGAGCGUGAAGCAAAUGCUUGUAAAAUGUUAGGCCUUUAUCAAACUGGAGAGGAUGGGCAGCUAAACUUAGAAGAGAUGAAAAGGCUGAUCAAUAAAGAACCAUCAGCAUGCAUUUUAGGUGGCCGCUAGUAAAAAAAAAAGUUCUUGCCCAAUGUAGUUAAGGUGAAUGUAAAACAUGGACAUUGAAUGCACCCAUUCCAUGUGAGCUGAUAUAACUGACCAGCUUUCUCAGUUGCUUCACAAUGACAGACAAGCCAGUCAUUAAAACAAAAAGCAUUAUUAACAAGAAAACAAGGAAAAGACCUAAGCCAUGGCUGCAACAUUUUUUCUUUCACUCCCCCAGGGACCGGGACAAAAGUACAAGUCUUUGCUUAAGGGACCGUGGUGAAAUUCAAAACUUUUUGGGGAAAGGAAAAGAAUAACUAAACAGUUUUUAUCCUGUUACACUGACUCAGGUUGUUCUGUACUGCACAUGGAAGAAAAAGCUGGCUCAGGUGCACCGUAAUGAUUGAUAGAUGCUGCUGUAAAGCGGGCAGCCAAGGAAUUGCAAUCAAGAGAGAGACGGAUCACAAAUGAUCUGCCUUUGCAAUUGGCCACAAAUGGCUAUUUGCCUCUGAAUUCAGGUGCAAUGGAGAAUUUCCAUCAAAUUACAGUGGGACGAUGAUGAUGAUGAUGACUUACUAUUAAAACAGUGCAGGUGAUGUACAGUAAGAAAAUUUUAAAGUAUUGACAAUGAAAAGCUACUGUACAAAAUCUGGAGGUGACAGCUAAACACAAGAACAAAAGCAUUACAACAUCCAACUUGUUUCCAAUUAGAAUUAAAUUAAAACUUAGUAAGGUUAAGCAAAAGAGUAUUUAUAGCACAUUUAAGAUUCAUUAGACUGUGACAAACCUACCUGGUCACAGAGCUUGGAAAAAUUACUUUUUUGAACGACAACUUCCAUCAGCCCAAUCCAGUGGCCAUGCUGGCUGGGGCUGAUGGGAGUUGUAGUUUAAACAAGUAACUUUUCCAAGCUCUGCCUGGACAUGUGUGGAGUUGACUGUAUUAAAGAUGCCUGUUGCUUUUAACAGUAUUUUUCUGCUGUGUACUGUUAUGAUCUAAGUUUGAACAAAAAAUCAGUAGUCAUUUUUAUUAGGAAAAACCUGAUAGGAUUCCCUGGAAAGACUGUUCAACAGCUCCAGUGCAGCUACUGCAAAGGCUGUGUGUUCCAAGCACUAUGUAUGUGGCCAGCACUGGAUUGAUCAUUAUACUGUAAGUCAGUGGCUUUACUUCUAAGUUAAUAUUAAUAGGAUUGUGCUCUAAAAGUUGCUAUUGCUGUCUCCAGCAAUCUGGUGUCAUAAAAAC